rnacentral:rRNA from 1 species
UACGUAGGGUGCAAGCGUUGUCCGGAAUUAUUGGGCGUAAAGAGCUCGUAGGCGGCUUGUUGCGUCGGCUGUGAAAACCUGGGGCUCAACCCCGGGCCUGCAGCCGAUACGGGCAAGCUAGAGUUCGGUAGGGGAGACUGGAAUUCCUGGUGUAGCGGUGAAAUGCGCAGAUAUCAGGAGGAACACCGGUGGCGAAGGCGGGUCUCUGGGCCGAUACUGACGCUGAGGAGCGAAAGCGUGGGGAGCGAACAGG